UACACGACCGUACCGCAAACCGACACUGGUGCGCGAGAUGAGUAUUCUAAGGCGCUUGAGAGAACUCAGGAGAAGGAACUCGGCAAAUUGACACCGUAACUUCGGAAGAAGGUGUGCCUUUAGUAGGUGAACCAUUUACUUGGGGAGCCCAAUGAGGUUGCAAAAAAUCGGUGGCUGCGACUGUUUAAUAAAAACACAGCACUCUGCAAACACGAAAGUGGACGUAUAGGGUGUGACGCCUGCCCGGUGCUGGAAGAUUAAAUGAUGGGGUGCAAGCUCUUGAUUGAAGUCCCAGUAAACGGCGGCCGUAACAAUAACGGUCCUAAGGUAGCGAAAUUCCUUGUCGGGUAAGUUCCGACCUGCACGAAUGGCGUAACGAUGGCCACACUGUCUCCUCCUGAGACUCAGCGAAGUUGAAAUGUUUGUGAUGAUGCAAUCUCCCCGCGGAAAGACGGAAAGACCCCAUGAACCUUUACUGCAGCUUUGUAUUGGACUUUGAACAGAUCUGUGUAGGAUAGGUGGGAGGCUUUGAAGUGUGGUCGCUAGAUCGCAUGGAGCCAACGUUGAAAUACCACCCUGGUGUGUUUGAGGUUCUAACCUAGGCCCGUAAUCCGGGUCGGGGACAGUGCAUGGUAGGCUGUUUGACUGGGGCGGUCUCCUCCCAAAGCGUAACGGAGGAGUUCGAAGGUACGCUAGGUACGGUCGGACAUCGUGCUAAUAGUGCAAUGGCAUAAGCGUGCUUAACUGCGAGACUGACAAGUCGAGCAGAUGCGAAAGCAGGACAUAGUGGUCCGGUGGUUCUGUAUGGAAGGGCCAUCGCUCAACGGAUAAAAGGUACUCUGGGAUAACAGGCUGAUACCGCCCAAGAGUUCAUAUCGACGGCGGUGUUUGGCACCUCGAUGUCGGCUCAUCUCAUCCUGGGGCUGUAGCCGGUCCCAAGGGUAUGGCUGUUCGCCAUUUAAAGAGGUACGUGAGCUGGGUUUAAAACGUCGUGAGACAGUUUGGUCCCUAUCUUCCGUGGGCGCUGCAGAUUUGAGGAAGCCUGCUCCUAGUACGAGAGGACCGGAGAGGACACACCUCUGGUGUAUCGGUUGUCACGCCAGUGGCAUUGCCGAGUAGCUAUGUGUGGAAGAGAUAACCGCUGAAAGCAUCUAAGCGGGAAACUCGUUUCAAGAUGAGAUCUGCCGGGGCCUUGAGCCCCCUAAAGAGUCGUUCAAGACCAGGACGUUGAUAGGUCAGGUGUGGAAGCGCAGUAAUGCGUUAAGCUAACUGAUACUAAUUGCUCGUGCGGCUUGACC
rnacentral:rRNA from 1 species